GGCCUCGUAGCUUAGCUGGUAGAGCAUGCGCGUACAAAGCGUAGGCGGCGUCUGUGCGUGGGUUCGAAUCCCACCGAGGCUA
rnacentral:tRNA from 1 species